rnacentral:rRNA from 1 species
UGGAGGCAGCAGUGGGGAAUAUUGCAAAAUGGGCGAAAGCCUGAUGCAGCAACGCCGCGUGUGCGAUGAAGGCCUUCGGGUCGUAAAGCACUUUUUGGAGGGAUGAGGAAGGACAGUACCUUCAGAAUAAGCCUCGGCUAACUACGUGCCAGCAGCCGCGGUAAAACGUAGGAGGCGAGCGUUAUCCGGAUUUACUGGGUGUAAAGCGCGUGCAGGCGGGUUGAUAAGUUGGAUGUGAAAGCUCCCGGCUCAACUGGGAGAGGUCGUUCAAGACUGUCAGCCUUGAGUACAGUAGAGGAAAGUGGAAUUCCGGGUGUAGUGGUGAAAUGCGUAGAUAUCCGGAGGAACACCAGUGGCGAAAGCGGCUUUCUGGACUGUAACUGACGCUCAGACGCGAAAGCUAGGGUAGCAAACGGGAUUAGAUACCCUGGUAGC